GACGAACGCUGGCGGCGUGCUUAACACAUGCAAGUCGAACGCUGAAGCUUGGUGCUUGCACUGGGUGGAUGAGUGGCGAACGGGUGAGUAAUACGUGAGUAACCUGCCCUUGACUCUGGGAUAAGCCUGGGAAACUGGGUCUAAUACUGGAUACGACAUGUCACCGCAUGGUGGUGUGUGGAAAGGGCUUUACUGGUUUUGGAUGGGCUCACGGCCUAUCAGCUUGUUGGUGGGGUAAUGGCUCACCAAGGCGACGACGGGUAGCCGGCCUGAGAGGGUGACCGGCCACACUGGGACUGAGACACGGCCCAGACUCCUACGGGAGACAGCAGUGGGGAAUAUUGCACAAUGGGCGGAAGCCUGAUGCAGCGACGCCGCGUGAGGGAUGACGGCCUUCGGGUUGGAAACCUCUUUCAGCACGGAAGAAGCGAAAGUGACGGUACGUGCAGAAGAGGCGCCGGCUAACUACGUG
rnacentral:rRNA from 1 species